rnacentral:rRNA from 1 species
GUGAGGAAUAUUGGACAAUGGGGGCAACCCUGAUCCAGCCAUGCCGCGUGAGUGAUGAAGGCCUUCGGGUUGUAAAGCUCUUUUACCCCUGACGAUAAUGACGGUAAGGGGAGAAAAAGCCACGGCUAACUUCGUGCCAGCAGCCGCGGUAAUACGAAGGUGGCAAGCGUUGUUCGGAUUUACUGGGCGUAAAGAGUGCGUAGGCGGUUUAAUAAGUCAGGAGUGAAAGCCCAAGGCUCAACCUUGGAAUUGCUUUUGAAACUGUUUUACUUGAAUCCGGUAGAGGUUGGCGGAAUUCCGAGUGUAGAGGUGAAAUUCGCAGAUAUUCGGAGGAACACCAGUGGCGUAAGCGGCCAACUGGACCGGUUUUGACGCUGAGGCACGAAAGCGUGGGUAGCAAACAGGAUUAGAAACCCGAGUAGUCC